rnacentral:rRNA from 1 species
ACAGCAGUCGCCACGGGAAUACGUAGGUGGCAAGCGUUGUCCGGAAUUAUUGGGCGUAAAGGGCUCGCAGGCGGUUUCUCAAGUCUGAUGUGAAAGCCCCCGGCUCAACCGGGGAGGGUCAUUGGAAACUGGGAAACUUGAGUGCAGAAGAGGAGAGUGGAAUUCCACGUGUAGCGGUGAAAUGCGUAGAGAUGUGGAGGAACACCAGUGGCGAAGGCGACUCUCUGGUCUGUAACUGACGCUGAGGAGCGAAAGCGUGGGGAGCGAACAGGAUUAGAUACCCCCGUAGUCCCUGUCUCUUAUAC